AUUACCCCCAAUAUGCAGCAUACAGCUAUCUAGCUAAGAAGCACUGGUGACCAAACCUCCGACAACGCUAAUAUUCCCACACACUACCUAAACCUGUGCAUUUAGACACAUUGCUUUAACAGUAGACAAGUGGCUCAGUGUAUUGCAAAUAGGAUUUUUGCUCUCCCAAGCAAAAGUUACUCUCGCACAGGGGGUAAUGAUCGUUCCUCUACAGCACGUACAUAUCAGACAUGACCAGGACUGACAGUCAAGAGUUUUACCUACAUUGGUAUGCUUACCAGGGCUCCAUGCUUUAAAUGAUGGUUUUUAUUUUUUACUGUAUAACCACUGGAGCUUACUCUUUUGUAUAUGUACACUCAAUGAAAGCACUUCAUUACAUACAUACUCUUUUGCAUAUUUGUACUUUCACAAACAGAGCUUCUCCCCCCGAAACACAAGAAACUAUAAGGAAACCAAAAAGAUAUAAAUAUAUUUGUACUGAAGUCCAGUAGAGUGCAGGAGUCUGUCUGACAGAGAGAAGUCCAGAGAGAUCCCAGAAGACCAUCUUACAAUCAUGAUAGGUUGAAGAUAACAGUAGACCACCCUAACACACUGUACAGACGAGAGUGAGUGCAGACUCUGCCAGACAGCAGAAAACAGAGGAGAAGAUGAUUUGUUUCUUAUAAAAGGCAAUCUGGCAUUCCUAUAUGUCCAAGAAUGAGAUUGCUGGACAGAGAACAAGAUCUGCAGCUGCAAACACAGCUCGAAUAAUGAGUGGAAAGUAAGGGGAGAAAUCUUUACAAAUAGAUAAACCCAGUAAUUUGAGAGACAGACAUAAGUGGAGACACUGACAGCAAAGUGAAACUGAUGCAUAUUAAAUCAUGUAAAGUACUUUGCAAUUUCCAGUUUUCCUUGCCAACCAAAUCUCGCACUACAUGAUGCAAAAGGUUAUUUUCCUUGUCCAAAAUUCCCUUUCAUGUGGAUCUUAAUCCCAACUCCACAUUUUGGUUAUUUUUCUACCUGAAUUUGCCACCCUCCGGUUACAUGAAGUCCAGCUGUGUGAUCUUUUGAUUUUUCCUUUCCCAGUUCAUUAAAUUUUAUGCAGCUUUUCAAAGCACAACAGUCUCUUCAUUAUCUCAGUCCAUCUUGAAGUUGACAUAUAUAUAGCGAAUGAAUCGAAGUGAUGCUAUGAAGCUGACUGUUCCAAGCAUGAGGAAGAAGACAUAUGCAGUAAGAAAAGAGUACCCAAAGAACUCUACAGUUUGAACGGCCCCAGACAUGUUUGAACGACGCCAGUAGUAGAAGACAGAGUAAAAAAAUAUAAAAGCUCCAGUAGAUCCUGUGCUCAAAACUGAACGC